rnacentral:lncRNA from 10 species
GGAUUCUAAACAUACUGACUGCUGUGUUCCCUGAUUCUCUGUCCAUUCCAGUUGUCCCAGCACUAGAAGACAUUCUAAGCCCAAGCUUAUUCCAAGUCUUGCAAGGACAUUGAAGUUGAUGCAGCUUUCUGGCCCAGAUGGACCUGGGGAAGAACCAAGUAGGAUACUGAGUCUGUGUGGGGAUGCUGGCCAGGGUCCUGAGUCCAGAAGACUGUCCCGCUGGCUCAAAUUGGUGUGCCUUCCAGCAGAUCUUUAAGUCCUUGCACAAAUGGAAAGUUUUCCAACUGCAGCAGGAGAGGCUACAGAAUAGACUGGGCUCCCAUGGGAUCUACUGUGGGACAGAGGCUGAAGAAGCUGGUCUUGGCUCAGAGGAAUGUGUGUAACCCAACAAGUUUCUGCACAGGUAGGAUAGUUCCCUGGCUGAAAAAGAAGGGGCCAGGAGGUGGUAGAAAAAGAAUACAGCACAUCAUCAGGAAUUAGUUUAAACUGGGACGUGGAUGAAGCUGGAAACUAUCAUUCGCAGCAAACUAUCACAAGAACAGAAAACCAAACACCGCGUGUUCUCACUCAUAAGUGGGAGGUGAACAACGAGAACGCAUGGACACAGGGAGGAGGACAUCACACACUGGGGCCUGUCGGGGGAUGGGGGGACUAGGGGAGGGAUAGCAUUAGGAGAAAUACCUUAUGUAGGUGAUGGAUUGAUGGGUGCAGCAAACCACCAUGGCACGUGUAUACCUAGGUAACAAAACUGCACAUUCUGCACUUGUGCCCCAGAACUUAAAAUGUAAUUUAAAAAAAAGAGAGAGAGAGAAAAAAAGAACUGGCUCCACAUCAGAGAUAUUUAGGUUUGGAUCCUGGCUCUCAGAGGUCACUAUGGAUGUGACCGUAUUUAUACAUUUCUACUGCGAUUGUGGUUCUCUUCCUUCUUUUUUCUCUUACCCUUUUCGUUUUGUUUUUUUUCCUUACCGUUCUUCUUCUUCACUUCUAGUUUAAAAAAGUAUCUGUGGAGGAACUGCAUUUUAUCUGCUUUGGCCAUAUUUUCAUUUCUGUAUCAAUCAAAUAUUUCUGGGUAAGCAGGAAACUAAAACUGUUUAAGCUUGGCCCAGGUGCCCACUUGGAACCCUCCACAGCAGAUAGUGGUAUGACAUCUGUAAGAAGGUGCCAUCUCCCGUUCAAAAAGAAUUUCCUAGAAGAAGGAAGGGUACUAUUUUGGGCAGGAAAAAUAAUAGGAACUCACCAUAUUAUUGUAGUUGUUGAUGAUGUGAGGAUUAGGAAGUAAAAUUAAAUAGAGAAACACUUCUGGCCAGUGUAGAAUUUCUGGUUGAGGUCAAGGAGCAUGAAUUUGUAGUUGCAACAACCUGUAAUAUAAUAUUGUAUUAUUUUUAGCAACAAUACUCUGCAAAUCUGAUGCAGAUGAAUUUUUCACAUUGGUCCAGAUUUGAAUUUUUCAGAGAAAUGUAACAGGAGAAAGAUGAUAAUAUUGGCAAUAUAGAGGAUGAAGAGGUAGGUAGAUGAUAUGAUCAAGGGUAUAUAUGAAAGGUGGUGACAAGACGAGAGAGGACUGGGAGAAAAUAGAGGAUUGGAAGGGUUUAUGGGGAAAAUCAGCCUGAAGAAACUGAAUUGGUCUGAGAUCAUAAUUACGGAAUUGAAAGAUUUAAUGUUUCAAGAGUUGAUAAUUAUAAGAUAAUAAGUUUACAUAUCUAUCUAUGGAAGUAGUUUACUAAUGUGGAAUUAUGAUGAUGGAAAUGAGAGAUUAAAAAACAGAUGCUAAGGUUCAUCUGGGUCAUUCACGUACACACUAAUAUCAGCCAAGUCAAGGUUCAUCUGGGUCAUACAUGUACACAUGGAUAUUGCCUGCAAGUCUUGGGGUGAAAGGAGCACAUUGAACCAGAUGCUAAAGGCUUGAGUGAAAGAGAAGACACACAGUUGUUUACACUUGCUAAAUUUAUUACAGUGAUGACUAGGAACUAUUUUAUCCUUAGGGGCUUCAGGCUGAAAAUGUAAUUUCUUUCCACGUAUUUAUCUUCACACCAUAACCCUUUGGAUGUGGAAGUUAUUAAAAAGGAAUUUUACAUGAGGUAAGAAUGGGUUAAUGAGUCAUAAAUAUGCAUAACACAAUGCUCAUUACAUAGCUAACAUUAGAUAUCAUGAGAAUUAUCCUAAAAAACAGAUGCUAAGGUUCAUCUGGGUCAUUCAUGUACACACUGAUAUCAGCCAAGUUGCUGGCAAGUGUUUGGGUGAAAGGAGGACAUUGAACCAGAUGCUAAAAGCUUGAAUGAACGAGAAGACACACAGUUGUUUACACUUGCUAAAUUUAUUACAGUGAUGAUCAAGAACUGAUUGAUCCUUAGGGGCUUCGGGGUGAAAAUGCGAUUUCUUUCCAUGUAUUUAUCUUCGCACAUAACACUUUGGAUGUGGAAGUUAUUAAAAAGGAAUUUUACAUGAGAAAGCAUGCUUGAUGAAGAACAUCUAUGAAUUCUAGCACUUCCAUAGGAAAGUAAACUGUUACUCAAGUACUGUUCGCAUGUGAAGUACCAUUGGCAGAGAGAACAUGGGAGAGAAGAGGCAAAUCCUUACUCCCUUAGGCUGGAGAAGUGGUGGUGUGAACAGCCAGAAAUACCCAAUCAGGCAGACAUUUAUCCCUGCGGGCUAUUUGUUGGGUGCACAUGGGUUGAAGACUCAGGUGAGUGGGGAUAAGUGUACCGCUGCCAAUUAUAGGUUUUGUUUAUUUCAGGCAGCUGGUAUUUUCAUUAGGCUUACAAUGAACUGAAGAUAGGGGCCAGCUGUUCCUCCUAAGAGGAGGUGGGAUGGGAAGGGUGAAAAGCCUGGGGCCGGCAGGCCCACAGCAUAUCCGUUUUCUUGUUGCUCUGGUUCGGAGCCUCGAAGUGAGUCUGCCUCAGGCAGAUGGUGCUCAUUCCUUCCUAGGAGCCACCUUCAGAACUGUGAUGUACGGAUAGACCAAUGCAGUAAGUACGUUUUCAAUAAGUCACUUUGUCAAACAAGCACUCAGUUUCCAUGCGGACCAAGUGUCCAGUGAU